rnacentral:sRNA from 1 species
CUGCUCAUUCACCUGUUUAUGAUUGCCCCGCACUGCGGAAAAGAGCUCAUAAAACCCGAAUGACGCACCAAACGGAGCCUGCCGUCCACCUCAUCGAUAAUCGUUUGCUUUGCAACGUUAUCAAACGCCGGACGUAACGUUGAGUAAGGCUCCACC